UACGGGGGGUGCAAGCGUUGUUCGGAAUCAUUGGGCGUAAAGAGCGUGUAGGCGGCUUGAUAAGUCAGAUGUGAAAGCCCCAGGCUUAACCUGGGAAGUGCAUUUGAAACUGUCUUGCUUGAGUAGGGGAGAGGGAAGUGGAAUUCCUGGUGUAGAGGUGAAAUUCGUAGAUAUCAGGAGGAACACCGGUGGCGAAGGCGACUUCCUGGCCCUAUACUGACGCUGAGACGCGAGAGCGUGGGUAG
rnacentral:rRNA from 1 species